rnacentral:rRNA from 1 species
UACGGAGGGUGCAAGCGUUAAUCGGAAUUACUGGGCGUAAAGCGUGCGCAGGCGGUUUGUUAAGUCUGUUGUGAAAUCCCCGAGCUCAACUUGGGAAUUGCAAUGGAUACUGACAGGCUGGAGUAUGGUAGAGGAAGGUGGAAUUCCCGGUGUAGCAGUGAAAUGCGUAGAGAUCGGGAGGAACACCAGUGGCGAAGGCGGCUUUCUGGACCAAAACUGACGCUCAUGCACGAAAGCGUGGGGAGCAAACAGG